rnacentral:lncRNA from 1 species
CAAUGGAUUGAUCCACGAACUGGGGCACAUCAACUAUGCUAUAAGCUCGGAACCUUCUUCUCGCGCAUCAGACAAACCACUCUUUAGUAAAAUGUGCAUAACCUUUGAUCCAACUGUCGGAUCGACCUCAAAUCUAUGGAAUUGGAAAGCUAACUUAAUUAUUUAUUUUAUGACCAAAUUUGGGCUAAAUUCCUCGGUGGGAAUUCUUCCAUCCAUUGGUAAACCUCUGACAUAUAUGCAUAGUUAUGCACAUCGAAUGGCUCCAGAAUCUCCAAAAUUUUCCAAAACGUACCUAGACCUCAAGAGACUCUAAAACGACUC